rnacentral:rRNA from 1 species
AUGUGGAGAUUACUCAUGCUUUGUCACUUUCGGGCCAUGGGUCCAAAUGCUUUGCGGAUUGUGGUUGUAGGGAAUUCAAAUAUAAAGGAUGGACAAUCUCCAUCACUUGAUGAUAUGCAUCUUGAUUGUGAAGCUUUAAGUUUCAUUCACCAAGCUAUAACCUUCGAGGUGUUCAAGUCAAUCUCGUCUUGUUCGUUGGCUCAUGAUGCUUGGACCAAAAUUGAAGAUAUAUAUGGUGGGUCCAAUCUUCAUGAAGACAAUAUUCUUUUUGGGGAGUUAAUGGAGGAGUUCUCCACAUUUUUAAAUCAUGAAGAGCUCUCUAUUGCUUCCACCUCCGAUUACUUGCAUACCCCAACAUCUUUCACUUCACCAACAUGUGGCAUACACAAGGUAAUGACAUGGUGA